CCGAGUGCGGGCCCUCGCGGCCCAACCUCCCACCCUUGUCUCUCUACACCUGUUGCUUUGGCGGGCCCACUGGGGCUCCCUGGUCGCCGGGGGACACCCGUCCCCGGGCCCGCGCCCGCCGAAGCGCUUCGUGAACCCUGAUGAAGAAGGGCUGUCUGAGUACUAUGAAAAUUGUCA
rnacentral:misc_RNA from 1 species